UACACACCGCCCGUCACAUCACGAAAGCCAGUUGUACUAGAAGCCGGUGACUUAACCGCAAGGAAAUAGCCGUCCAAGGUAUGACUGGUGAUUGGGUG
rnacentral:rRNA from 1 species